ensembl:snoRNA Gm22501 predicted gene, 22501
CCUGUCCCCGGGGGCAUUGCAGGUAACAUGAUGGCAUGCAAGGCUCCUGUGUCAUAUGUGCUUCAGAGAAGAGAGAGGUUAUAUCAGCAUUCUGGCCUGUGGACAUCUGAAUGAUUGGCAGCCUAACAUU